CAGUCGCCGCGGUAAUACGUAGGGUGCGAGCGUUAAUCGGAAUUACUGGGCGUAAAGCGUGCGCAGGCGGUUUUGUAAGACAGGCGUGAAAUCCCCGGGCUCAACCUGGGAAUGGCGCUUGUGACUGCAAAGCUAGAGUGCGGCAGAGGGGGAUGGAAUUCCGCGUGUAGCAGUGAAAUGCGUAGAUAUGCGGAGGAACACCGAUGGCGAAGGCAAUCCCCUGGGCCUGCACUGACGCUCAUGCACGAGAGCGUGGGGAGCAAACAGGAUUAGAUACCCCGGUAGUCCCUGUCUCUUAUAC
rnacentral:rRNA from 1 species